rnacentral:rRNA from 1 species
AGGAUGAACGCUGGCGGCGUGCCUAAUACAUGCAAGUCGAGCGGUAAGGCUCCUUCGGGAGUACACGAGCGGCGGACGGCUGAGUAACACGUAGGAACGUACCCCAAACUGAGGGAUAAGCACCAGAAAUGGUGUCUAAUACCGCAUGUGGUCUUCGGAUUAAAGCUUCGGCGGUUUGGGAACGGCCUGCGCAUGAUUAGCUUGUUGGUGAGGUAAUUGCUCACCAAGGCGACGAUCAUUAGCUGGUCUGAGAGGAUGAUCAGCCAGACUGGGACUGAGAACGGCCCAGACUCCUACGGGAGGCAGCAGUAGGGAAUUUUCCACAAUGGGCGAAAGCCUGAUGGAGCAACGCCGCGUGCAGGACGAAGGCCUUCGGGUUGUAAACUGCUUUUAUAUGUGACGAUUAUGACGGUAGCAUAUAGAAUAAGGAUCGGCUAACUCCGUGCCAGCAGCCGC